rnacentral:SRP_RNA from 1 species
GCCGGGUGUGGUGACACGUCCCUGUAGUCCCAGCUACUCUGGAGGCUGAGGUGGGAGGAUUACUUGAGCCCAGGAGUUCUGGGCUGUAGUGCGCUUAUGCUGAUUGGGUGUCCGCACUAAGUUUGGCAUCAAUAUGGUGACCUCCCAGGAGCAGGGGACCACCAGGUUGCCUGAGGAGGGGUGAACCAGCCCAGGUCGGAAACGGAGCAGGUCAAAAUUCCCGUGCUGAUCAGUAGUGGGAUCGCACCUGUGAAUAGCCACUGCUCUCCAACCUGGGCAGCAUAGCAAGACGCUGUCCCU